UGAUGUGAAAUCUUCUCUCUGCAUUUUGGCCCCAGCAUCCUUAAUUUCAAAGCUUUAUUCUGUCUGCCUGAGAGAAUCAACUGAGGGUGGUUCUCCCUAAAGAACAGAAAAGGAUCUGUCAGGUUAGAAGGACCCAAGUUUGGGGUGUAAAAUGUUGUCUGCUUCCUAUUCAUCUAGACUGACUUACUAACAUACCUAUGCUCAGUGGACUUUUAUAGACAGUUUAGAAAAAACGACUGAGCCUUCUUCCCCCAUGCUAUCACCAGUUCGACCAGAAUGGAACUGGGCUUUUAGAGCAUAUCUAGAAAGCUUGGUUAAUCUUUUCAUAUUCAUAGUAUUGAAUCACAAAUGCUGUUCCCUCUUGGCCUCAGUUCUGUGCAACUAAGUGAUGAGCAAAGGGCACAUAAUAUGCUCUGAAAAGAGUAGCAAAGCAUGCUUUGCCUACUCUUCCCAUACCAGGAAAUCCUUUUGGAACUAGAUUAGCAUUGCCUUCUCUGUCUGAGAGGAUGGUUUACAUGACAGCUCCAGCCUCCUGCAGCUUUUGCAGGCUGGCCUUCUCAGAGUCAGCAUGUUGUUUCCAUAAUCAUUUUGAUAUUUUAACUCAGGUACCCCAAUCUUCACUCCAUCCCCAGAUGAUUGUAGUACAACCUGUUAGCUCUGUUGACCUCUCAAAAUUAGUGCCCAAAGCAGGGACCACAGAGAUGAAUUUUCUAUUAAAAAAAUAAUUGGAACCAAUUCAUGUUCAGGCCAAAAACAAAUUGUUGCCAUGCCUAUGUAUUUUAAAUGUUAAUUUUGCCUAAAAAUAUUGCAGUGACUUUAGGCGGGAGUGCCAAAGGCCACCAUGACCUUGUCAAACUAGCAUAGUUUCUCCUAACCUUCUGCCCUAGCUUAAUCACUAAGAAUAGGGAAGAGAGCCCCACAAAGUUACCAAAAAGAGGCUCUAGCCGCCAUCCUCUGGCUUUUCUAAGAACCUUUGAGUCCCCUAAACUGUGUAGAGGCUACUAACUUUUGUGGGCACUAGAAGUCACUGUGAUGAUAGAUUGAAAUUGUUUCCAUUUGCUAUGGGACAAUUUCUAUCAAAGGAAGGUUUUUGCCUCUGGACAGGCCCCUGCGCUCCCAGCCAAACAGGCCAUGCUAACCGCCCACCAUCCUCUCUCAAACUGUCUUAGGAAGGAGCUUCAGGCUAGGUCAGUCACAGUAAUGGCUUUCCAGCUGUCUUGUCCUUUGAUUCUUCACCAGGCCUGACAGUUGUCUGCAUUUAAUGCUAUUUGUAACCAUGCAUCUGUGUUCAUGCCUUCCCCCACUUCUCGCUGCCCACACCUGUUGCCUUUGUGUUUCUCUGCAUUGUGGCUGUUCCUGGGUUCUGGUCUAUUCAAAGCUCUUCUAUAGCCUCACUCUAAUGGUUGUUUAACAAUUGUUCUGUGAGCGGACAUUUCCCCUUGCUUUAAUGCUUCUUCUCUUUUAAAGACUACGUGCAUUCCCUUUGAAAUGAAGCAUUCCUGGAUUACCUGUUAGUGCUGGUGCUUGAGGCUGGCUGUGGUAGCCUGGGCGACUCUGUUCAGGUUGUAGAAUAACUAAUAUUUUACCUUUUUUUUAUGACUCAAUUGAAGGGCACUUCUGUCUGCUCCGAUUUUAAUUCCUUGAUAUAUACCCAGUGCAUCCUAGCAAGGAAGGCUUUCUACUCCACUGGCUCCUUCAGAAGCAAAAGUACGUUAAAUUUUACACUUCACUGACUGGGGUCUUCUUUCUCCCCUGUAUCCCCUUCACCCAACUGAAGUAAAAAGCUGAGACCAAGAAGAACACUGGGAUCAAGCCUUCCUUGCUAGCCAUGCCCUAAUAAUGAGCAUAUUUUUAUGUGGUCUCCACUGCAUUUGGUUUUGUUUCUGACUUCAUAUUCCUUUGAGGUACAGUCAGAGGAAAUGCUGAAUUCCAAGUAAGCUCCAGUGAGGAGCUACCUUUCAGCUUUGGGAAAUACUGCAUCCAAAACAAAACCAAAAACUAUAAUCAAUAAAUUGACACAGGCAAAAUUAUGGUUCCCACCCCCACAUGAAACGGGACGUUUUGAAUGUGGCUCUAAGAGUGAACAUUUCUGUCUGUGUGUUGUGUACGCUAGGUGAUGCCCUCAGCAGGACUGACUACUAGACUGUAAGUGUGUUUUAUCAAAGUGUGUCAGAAUAAAAACUCACUUGCACGAAUUGAAAAGUACAGAAAUGACACUUGUGAACGCGUGAACGUUAACACUGUAGUUGAUAGAUCUUAAGCUGCUAAUUGUUGAGAGAGAAUUACAUUUAUGUUUUGUCUGGUUGCUGCAUAUUCUCAGCAGCACUUUUACUGUACAUACAAAUUGAAAUAAAGACCUCAGCUAUUAACGA
rnacentral:lncRNA from 1 species